rnacentral:rRNA from 1 species
AAUUUGCCUAGCCGUAAAAAAUUUACCACAACACCAAGCGCCCGGGUAUUACGAGUGCAAACUUAAAAUCCAAAGGAUUUGACGGUGUCCCACCCACCUAGAGGAGCCUGUUCUAUAAUCGAUAAUCCUCGAUAUACCUCACCAUUUCUUGCUAUCCAGUCUGUAUACCUCCGUCGUAAGCUUACCAUUUGAGUGCAAAAAAGUAAGUUUAAUGAUUAUGCAUCAACACGUCAGGUCAAGGUGCAACCAAUGAAAAGGGAAGCAAUGGGCUACAAUCUCUAUAAUAGAACACACGAAAUACUACAUGAAAAAUAGUCAUGAAGGCGGAUUUAGUAGUAAAAGAAGAAUAGCAUGCUUCUUUUAAUAAGGCUCUGGGACGUGUACAAACCGCCCGUCACCCUCUUCAAUAGCAUACAUCAAUUUAUAAUCAUCAGAAGCACUUUAGAAGAGGCAAGUCGUAACAUGGUAAGAGUGUUGGGGAGAGCGCUUUUUGGAUAAAAAAAUGGCUUAUAUAAAACACCCCCCUCACUAACCACAAAAAUAUGUUUUUUACACCUCAUAUUUUGUG